AUUGCUCCCAAUGUUUUGUUCACACCAGCGGGUGGUUUAAGAGAUAAUCCCAGAGAGAUUCUGGGUCUGACUUUCAAUAACCAGUGACUUGUUUUUCUAACUUUUUUCUUUGAGUUCAAAGAAAAGUUCUGCCUAUGGCACAUUACACCAUGUAAACCAUCUCCUUACAUGUGAGCACCAUAUUCAAUGACCCAUAUGGUAUAACAAGAGUGGCCAAGG